GUUGUGAAGUUUCCGGGCUGUUCUGUCCCUUCUGUUUCUUGACUCUGAGUGGCCUGAGUUGUCGAAGGCUUUCAUGUCCGGAAUUGCUGAGUUACUAACUGGACCAGUAGAAAUAAUGAUCAAUGGAAACCAAGGCAGCUGAAACAGCCACGAUCAAGAUGAUUGCAUCUUUCACAACUGAAUCUGAAAUUAGAGAUCCUUAUGGUUACAGACCUGCUCUCCAAUGCAUGUAUUUGCUGAAGGUAAAAAAUAUGCAUGGAAAAACAAAUGUCAAAGUUUCAUAAAUGGGAAACAUAUACACUGCCAUCUCUAUAUCAACAGGGGAAAGUUCGGAACUUCAUGUGAAUACACAAAAUUUCAGAUAUCAACCCUAUUGAAAUGAAGGUUUUGUGGCUCAAGAAUACAAGUCAUGCCAGAGGACCUAGCGAAUGGCGAGAGAAGUCAUAUGUCAACCAUGGAUAAAUGAAACUGCAUGUACAGACACAGCGGUCAUACUGUAUAUGUAUAUAUAUUGUCAAUAUAAGCCUGUCUGGACCUUGAGAUCUUCAAGAAAGGAUUUUGUUUAGUCUCAUCUCUUUGAAUUCUGUGGUUGCCCACAGGCUCUAGAACUUCACCUAUAUUAGGGAUGGAUCUUUUUUCAUUGCAGUCUUUCCAUCAGCAGAUAUAGGUGUGUGUUUUAAUUAUUCUGAAAGUCUUUUAGACCUGAAGAUUUUUAAGGAAAUAACUGUAUGAAGAUAUUGAAUUGUCUGAAAUUAUUUUACUGUUUUUAUUUUUUUAUCAAUUUAAGUGUCUCUUUCAAAUUAUUUUUGUACAGUUAAGAAUUCUACUUUAAUGUUGAUGUUUAGUAUGAUUUUGAUCUGUAUUCUUACUGUUUUAAUUUCCAAGCUGAUUUGAAUCCCUAUCUUGGGGGGAAGGGAAGAGGAUAAAGUUGUUCUUAUUAUUUAAAUUAAAUUUGUGUGUGUGUGUAGAAUUAAAGGUGACACAAAAAUGCAGCAAUUUCCAUUUAAGGUAAGAGAGAAAUCCACAAUUUGAUACACAUCUGAGUCAGAACAUGGGAUUUCAACAAGCUUGUUUUGACCUUUCACACAUCCCUACUCUCAGUGAGGAUAACAUUUCCAAAUGCAUUUUAGUUGCAUUGACCUGACACCUUGCCCUAAAGCUGACCUGCCAUAUCCAUGGAUUCUCCACCCACAAAUCCGACCAUUCAUGAGUUGAUUUCUUCUAAUCCAAAAAGCACACCUUGUAUUUGCUAUUUUAUAUAAGGCACAUCAUUUUACUAUGCCCUUGUAUAUUAUGGGACUUGAGGCUAAAACCUUUUUAUUCAGAAAGGCUUUUAAAGAUUAAGGUGUUUAGAAUCUAGUCAGGGGUGCUAUGGUUUUUAAUUCUGAAUAUGUUUUGAUGAAUUUGAACCAUGAAUUUUUAGUGCUG
rnacentral:lncRNA from 1 species